rnacentral:piRNA from 1 species
UUCUGCCACUUGAAUUCAUUUUUUUCA